rnacentral:rRNA from 1 species
GGGGCGAGAGAGUACGCUGGGGCAUCUUCACACAUGUCAAGUUGAACGGGUUUAAGUCUAUUAAACUUAAACAAGUAGCGGACGGGUGAGUAACGCGUAAGAACCUACCUUUAGGUAAGGAAGAGGUAUUGGAAACGAUAGAUAAUACCUUAUAAGCUUAUAGUAAAAGAUAAAAUCGCCUAAGGAUGGGCUUGCGUCUGAUUAGCUUGUUGGUGAUUUACAAGAUUCACCAAGGCAACGAUCAGUAGUUGGUCUAAGAGGAUGAUCAACCACACUGGGACUGAGACACGGCCCAGACCUCUACGGAGGGCAGCAGUGAGGAAUAUUCCGCAAUGGGCGAAAGCCUGACGGAGCAAUGCCGCGUGGAGGAUGAAAGCUUGUGAGUCGUAAACUCCUUUUCUUAGUGAAGAAAUAAGACGGUAUCUAAGGAAUAAGCAUCGGCUAACUCCGUGCCAGCAGCCGCGGUAAUACGGAGGAUGCAAGCGUUAUUCGGAAUUAUUGGGCGUAAAGCGUCUGUAGGUGGUAAUAGAAGUCUACUGUUAAAUAUUAAGGCUUAACCUUAAAAAAGAGGUAUGAGACUAAAAAAAUUGAGUUAGUAAAGGUAGAGGGAAUUCUCGGUGUAGUGGUGAAAUGAGUAGAGA